rnacentral:rRNA from 1 species
CCUACGGGGGGCAGCAGUGGGGGAUAUUGGACAAUGGGGGAAACCCUGAUCCAGCGACGCCGCGUGAGUGAAGAAGUAUUUCGGUAUGUAAAGCUCUAUCAGCAGGGAAGAAAGAAAUGACGGUACCUGAGUAAGAAGCCCCGGCUAACUACGUGCCAGCAGCCGCGGUAAUACGUAGGGGGCAAGCGUUAUCCGGAUUUACUGGGUGUAAAGGGAGCGUAGACGGCAGCGCAAGUCUGGAGUGAAAUGCCGGGGCCCAACCCCGGAACUGCUCUGGAAACUGUGAAGCUGGAGUGCAGGAGAGGUAAGCGGAAGUCCUGGUGUAGCGGUGAAAUGCGUAGAUAUCAGGAGGAACACCGGCGGCGAAGGCGGCUUACUGGACUGUAACUGACGUUGAGGCUCGAAGGCGUGGGGAGCAAACAGGAUUAGAUACCCCUGUAGUC